UACAGAGGUCCCGAGCGUUGUUCGGAUUCACUGGGCGUAAAGCGUGCGCAGGCGGUUUUGUAAGCCAGAUGUGAAAUCCCCGGGCUUAACCUGGGAAUGGCAUUUGGGACUGCAAGGCUUGAGUUCGGUAGGGGAGACUGGAAUUCCUGGUGUAGCGGUGAAAUGCGCAGAUAUCAGGAGGAACACCGAUGGCGAAGGCAGGUCUCUGGGCCGAUACUGACGCUGAGGAGCGAAAGCGUGGGGAGCGAACAGG
rnacentral:rRNA from 1 species